rnacentral:rRNA from 1 species
GACGAACGCUGGCGGCGUGCCUAACACAUGCAAGUCGAGCGGGGACAUGGAGGAGCUUGCUCCGAAGUGUUCCAGCGGCGGACGGGUGAGUAACGCGUGAGCAAUCUGUCCUGCACAGGGGGAUAACAACUGGAAACAGUUGCUAAUACCGCAUGAGACCACAGAGUCGCAUGGCUUAGGGGUCAAAGGAGCAAUCCGGUGCAGGGUGAGCUCGCGUCCGAUUAGAUAGUUGGUGAGGUAACGGCCCACCAAGUCAACGAUCGGUAGCCGACCUGAGAGGGUGAUCGGCCACAUUGGAACUGAGACACGGUCCAAACUCCUACGGGAGGCAGCAGUGGGGAAUAUUGGGCAAUGGGCGAAAGCCUGACCCAGCAACGCCGCGUGAAGGAAGAAGGUUUUCGGAUUGUAAACUUCUGUCCUUGGUGACGAAGGAAGUGACGGUAGCCAAGGAGGAAGCCCCCGGCUAACUACGUG